rnacentral:ncRNA from 2 species
UAAGUGCUUCCAUGUUUUGGUG